CAGCCGCCGCGGUAAUACAUAGGGGGCGAGCGUUAUCCGGAAUUAUUGGGCGUAAAGGGUACGUAGGCGGGCCUGCAAGUCUGAUUUGAAAGCACACGGCUUAACCGUGUGAGGUAAUUAGAAACUACGAGUCUAGAGAGUGGUAGAGGUAAAUGGAAUUCCAAGUGGAGCGGUGAAAUGCGUAGAGAUUUGGAGGAACACCAGUGGCGAAGGCGGUUUACUGGGCCACAUCUGACGCUGAUGUACGAAAGCGUGGGGAGCAAACAGGAUUAGAUACCCUGGUAGUCCACGCCGUAAACGAUGAGUGCUAAGUAUCGGUAGAAUCGGUGCUCAAGCUAACGCAGUAAGCACUCCGCCUGGGGAGUACGGUCGCAAGACUGAAACUCAAAGGAAUUGACGGGGACUCGCACAAGCGGUGGAGCAUGCGGUUUAAUUCGAUGCAACGCGAAGAACCUUACCAGGUCUUGACAGUGUAAAGAAUACUUAAGAGAUUAAGGGCUAAGAAUUAAGCUUGCUUAUUUCACUUUAUAAACAGGUGGUGCAUGGCC
rnacentral:rRNA from 1 species